rnacentral:rRNA from 1 species
GUCCACGCCGUAAACGAUGGAUGCUAGUCGUCGCGGGUAUUGACCCCUGCGGUAACGCAGUUAACGCAUUAAGCAUCCCGCCUGGGGAGUACGGCCGCAAGGCUAAAACUCAAAGGAAUUGACGGGGGCCCGCACAAGCGGUGGAGCAUGUGGUUCAAUUCGACGCAACGCGCAGAACCUUACCUGGGUUAAAUCCACCGGAACUCCGCAGAGAUGUGGAAGUGCCCGCAAGGGAGCCGGUGAGAAGGUGCUGCAUGGCUGUCGU